UUUUUUUUUCUGUAUAUCUUGUCUCUUUUUCUAGUAGCAAUUUUCUGAUACUUUCCAUUAACCCUUCUCAGAUGAAAAAAGUACAACCUAUGAUUAACACACUUAGCCAUCAUUACUUUUCUAGGUACAAUUUUUGGCCACAAACCUCCUCAUGUAUUACCAGUCAGCCAACCAGAGUUGGAAGCUCUUGAGUCAUGUAUUCAUUUCCAGCCCAUUAAGUGGCUGCUCUUCACCAAGAUCCCCCCCCCUCAGUCAGGUGGUCCCGCUCAAAAAGAGAUAAUGGGUUUGUUGGUAACAACUAGCAUGUAUGACAGAUAGGAUAGUUACAGACUAUGAAUCAAGGUAAACAAAAAUAUAAAUUUGAUUUCUCUAUAACUGAACUGAAGUCCUAUUUUGAAACUUUAUUCAGAUGAUAGAAAAAAAAUUAGGCUUCAGUAAUUUAAGGUAAGUCACUCAAUUCAGGGUUUUCUCAGUCAAAUAAGAAUUCUUCCCUUACUGAUUCUCCAUGUGUCUUAGUUUGGGUGAGCCCAAAAGUAGCAUCUGAGAGGAGGAAUUAGAUUCUGGUGGUUUGUGUGAGAUGUAUCUUUGGAAACAACAAUGAGACAGCAAAAAGAGUGAGACAUAGGAGAAGAGAAAACAGUAAAGAGUUUGUUGUUGAACUGCUGGCAACUGGAACUCUAUUCUACUGCAUCCUCUUAAUGGCUGGUUAGAAUGAGACCCAUAAUUGUUUCUGAAAAAUAGGGUGCUGAAACACUAAUCCUCCAACUCCCACUCCUCAUUGGUUGAGAACUUCCCCUGGAGGUAUUAAUUGCUCUGUAUUUCUGGACUACCCUGCAUGCAAAUUGAGAAAAACCCCGCAUCUUCAGGAAACAUCCUUAGACAGUAAAGUGUAAAUUUUCGUGCAUGCUUGGAGUAGUCUGCACAAGAACUAGCCACUGGAGCUGCAGUCAAUAUCUGAGGGUAGUCAAAAGAAUGUGAUAUGGAACCCCAAAAUUUUCUACCACACUCCAGGAGCAAAGACAUGUUGUAUCACUGUGUGGGUGAUAGUCAGAUAUCAUAACCUAUCCAAGUUGGAAUCUACUGAGAAAAUUAAGGCUCAAUUUAACUAGUCUUUAUCUUCUAGCUCUGUUAGUAAAUUCUGAGGCAUCUUCAUUGCCCUCUAGUUUCCAAUUGUCAAGGAUAUGUAGGAAAUAUGUACCCUCCUUCCCAUGCCCAUACAGGCCCACACACACAGGUGCACCCUCUCUCCACUCAGCUCUUUCUUCAUUCCUCUCAGGGAAAGGCCUGGAAAGGGGCUUGAGGAGCAGUUCUUAGGAAUGAAACCUGUGGACCCAUUCUCAGGGACACACACAAAAAUCUAUUUCAAUAUUUGCAUCUCCUGACUCUCCAUUCCUUUACACUAAUCUAUGAGAACCCUAUCUAAUUUCAGCAGCUGGGGAAAACUGCCCUGACUCAUUCUGUAUUUUUUUCAUGUGUUUUAUUUAUGUCAUAAACUUUGUGUCCUGAAUCCUUUGAGGUUCUGACUCUUGAUAUUAUGCAACUCAAAAUUUCUACUCUCAUCAUUACUGUCUCUUCUGGGAGUUUCAAAAGGCUGUUUUGAGCCUAAAAAGCUGAGCAUUGACUCCUUUCUUUCCCUUUUGUAUUUCUUAAGUAACUGUACCCUAAGAGUAGUAAGUAUAGAAUAUCCUCUCAUAUUGAGUCUCCAAAAGCAGACCUUGAGAUGAGGACUUGUGUGAAAGUAAUUUAUUAGGACAUGUUCCCCUAAAAUACCAGUAAAGGAGUAAGGAACUGGAAUAGGGAAAGGAAGAAAAACAAGCAAGGCUGUAAUAUUAAACCAAGUCCUGUAAGAGGGUAACUUUGGCUCCAUCCCAGAGUCUAUCCCUGGAGACAAUGAAGGUCAUGCCUCAGAAUUUUCCCCCUCAAGGGACAAGAGAGUUAGAAUAUUUAUCCUCUCAUCCCAUCAGUCAUUGGUUAAGGGCUGCCCAAUGGGAGAAGAGUGAAGGGGAGAGGGUGUGGAGACUGUGGUAUUAAAAUCCCAGUCACUUCAGCAAAUUCUGUUCUGACAGCAUCUGUUGGGAUAGCCUUACCAUUAUCUGAAUGGGGGAUCAGUCUGAGCAGCAGGAAACAGGAGGGAAAGAAACAGAGGAUGAUGUUUCAGAAUAUAAUCUUGCAAUGCAUAUCUACUAUGCUUAACUCCCAUGCUCUCUUACACCAUCAUGAAUUUCAUAGGGGGAUAUUAAGUUUUGUAUACUCUCCUUUUCUUCCAGGCCAAUGGCUUUUUCUGCAAAACUUAAUCUCCCUAGUCACAAGCUCUUUCCCUCUCUGCUCUUGUGUACUAUCCUCUGAGAAUAAGCCUAUCAAAGUUGGGUUUCCCCUACCAGAAUUUGGAGUCCAUAAGAGCAGAAACCAGCUUGUUCUUUUCUGCAUCCCCAGGCCUAAGUGCUCUGUAAAUGCUUAUGAAAGAAUAGAUAAAGGUGUACAGUUCACUCACAGGCUUGGAAAUGUGAGGUAAAUCCUGCCUUGUGCCUCCAAUUCAUGCAUUUUUAUUCAGAUCAAAACAGUUUACAAUGAAUGUUAAGGGAACAAAAUGUCAAAAAUGGUGACACGUGGUUUUAGGGAUGUGUAUGAAAAGGGAAAAGCUUGUUUAGCCCACUUUGCUUUGAUUAUGAAAAGGCCAGCUGAUUAAGAAUAGUUUGUUUAUGAGCACAAGGGUGGUUUUUAGCACUGACCAGGAAGUCCAUCUCCUUGUGCUGCCUUGAGAAAUGUGAGAUUUCCCCCUCUGCAAAAGUGUCAGGUUUUUCUAGAUUUUCUACAACCUGAGGAUAGCUCUUCAUGCACAUGUGCAAUUGCCAAAGAUUAAUAAUGAUAUGAAUAGAUGGGUUGAUAAGUGCAUGGAUGGAUGACGUGUAAAUACAUUUUACUAGACCACUAAACUCUAAUAGAAAUAAGGUAUUAACUGGGAAGACAGUUCCUUUUAGGACAGAAACUUAAUAUCAUGUCAAAAUAUAUUUUUAGAGCUUAAAAAAUAUCCAUAGAUUAUCAUUAGGCACUUAUAAGAAGAAAAAUGAGGAAGUUGAGCAUGAAGUGAACAAUCUGAUUUAUUUAAUAAACUGACAUAAUCACUGGGCCUUAAUGAUUUCCAAAGCAAGCAUAUCCUAUAGUUGGGUCUAUUAUACCUGACAAGACCAUAAUAAUGUGUUGCUAUUUUAGUGGACUGUAAAUAAAACUUCCUACCUGUACCCUUCACCCAAUUCUUAGGAUUGAUGACAUCUACGCCAAGUUAAUGGAGGGAGACAUUCACUGAGUGUUCCUCACACACCAAAAGAUAGAACCAAAAGAUUUUUUAAUAUUCUGUAACCCACGAAGAGUUUUGUUGUCUGGUCAACUUUCUUUGAGGGAAUUUACUGACCUAUGUUAUAUUCUGGACCACAUGAAAAAAAUAUUUUUUUGUAUAGGAAUUUUGUUUGUAGACAUGAAGGCUGAGAUACACUCCCUUUUACAUGCACUCCUCCAGUUCAGACUGUAUCUCAACAUAACAUCACAGUUCUUUCAUUGCUUUUAGAACAGUAGGAUUGGCAGGCAGGCUGCCUCAUAUUAGAGUUUACAUCUAUAUCUGUUUCUUUUGUUGGAUUAAGACUUUCCCCAAAGUAUCUAGAGUAAUGCCUAGCUCAUAGUCUCUGUCACUUCUUUUCUGUGUAGGAAUCCCUUACUGAUCUUCAAAGAUUUAGCUCGAAAGUCAACCCUCAUGCUCCUCUAGAACAGUUAAUUGCUCCCUUUUAUGAGCUCCCCCUACACUGCAUUCACAGUGCUCCUAUAGUGUUUAUCUCAAUUACAGUCACUUAAAUAAAUAUAUGACGCUUCUAUUGAAGCAUGAACUUAUGAAGAGAAAGAAUACUGCAUUUUCACCAUUUUUCCCUUAGUGCCUAACAUACUGCUUGCCAUACAGUAGAUGCUAAAUAAAUCUCUGUUGAAUUAAAGUGUAGUUUAUCUACCAACAAAUAACAAACUGAAGACAAAACUCCCUGAAAUGGAAUUCCAGUUCAAAUUAGGAAAUGUGAGUAAAUUCUAACUCUCAGGAUAAUGAUUAGGGCUGAAGAAGAAAUAUUCUUGGGCUUGAUAAGAGAUCAAGGAAGCGGAGUUCCCGUCGUGGCGCAGUGGUUAACGAAUCCGACUAGGAACCAUGAGGUUGCAGGUUCGGUCCCUGCCCUUGCUCAGUGGGUUAACGAUCCGGCGCUGCCGUGAGCUGUGGUGUAGGUUGCAGACGCGGCUCGGAUCCCGCGUUGCUGUGGCUCUGGCGUAGGCCGGUGGCUACAGCUCCGAUUCAACCCCUAGCCUGGGAACCUCC
rnacentral:lncRNA from 1 species